rnacentral:lncRNA from 1 species
GAGAUUAAAACUGCAUAAGAACGACCUAUAAGAAUAUUGUUAUGUGGACUGUGGAUCAGAUAGCUGAGAAAACUGAAAGCUUAUCAGGAGAUCAAUUUAGCAACCACAUUGUUUCAUUACGUCCUUGGUUUAAAGACAUGCGCCUGAUGCGCCGAGGCACACAAGACGAUCAGGGAAGCGCCUUCUGGGUAAAAGUUAUGAAAGAAUAAUCAGAUUUUACAUAUAAGGCGAUCUUCUCUACUGGAAACAACUAGAGGGUCAAAAUCAUAUAUUUCCCAAAAAAAUAAUCAGAUUUUACAUAUAAAAGUUUAACAAAUUCCCGUGGCGGGGGAUCAACGGACCCUCUCGACCUCCUCUGCUUCCACCCCUUGGAUGAAGUUAUUAUCCAUCUUUUCCCUCUUAAAUUUAUAUGCAUUGCAUAUGCUUUGUAUGUUAUCUAGAUCCUAUUGGAGAAGAUAAGGAGGGAGAAGGUAUUGUUGUAGAAGAAAGCAAGCUUCCAUGGGAUGGGAUUGAUCUUGACUAUGGGUAUGAAGAGAUGGAUCGUACUUACUAGAUGUACCAUACCACACGUACAAGCUCGACAUAUACGGAUGGCGUUCGAAAUUUUCUUAGGGUUGCUGAA